GACGAACGCUGGCGGCGUGCUUAACACAUGCAAGUCGAACGAAGAGCGAUGGAUGCUUGCUUCUAUCAAUCUUAGUGGCGAACGGGUGAGUAACGCGUAAUCAACCUGCCCUUCAGUGGGGGACAACAGUUGGAAACGACUGCUAAUACCGCAUACGAUCUAACCUCGGCAUCGAUGAAAGAUGAAAGGUGGCCUCUAUGUAUAAGCUAUCACUGAAGGUGGUGGUUGAGUCUGAUUAGCUAGCUGGAGGGGUAAAGGGCCACCAAGGCGAUGAUCAGUAGCCGGUCUGAGAGGAGGAACGGGCACAUUGGGACUGAGACACGGCCCAGACUCCUAAGGGGGGCAGCAGUGGGGAAUCUUCCGCAAUGGAGGAAAGUCUGACGGAGCAACGCCACGUGAGUGAUGACGGCCUUCGGGUUGUAAAGCUCUGUUAAGCGGGACGAAAGGCCUUUUUGCGAAUAGUGAGAAGGAUUGACGGUACCGGAAGAGAAAGCCACGGCUAACUACGUG
rnacentral:rRNA from 1 species